AUGUCAUUCUUUCUUUUUUGUACUACUAAAAAACAACUCCAAAUGAAGAACCUGCUCCAGCUCCAGCUCCAGCUCCAACUCCAGCUCCAGCUCCAGCUCCAGCUCCCGAACCAACUCCAGCUCCCGCUAAAAGAAGAUAUCAUUCAUUUUUCUGUAAGUAGCAGUCUGUGCCUCAAAAGUCUUUCUUUCCUUUCUCUGUUUAGUUCCUGGAUCUUAUCUCUUAUUUUAGAACACUUGGGCUUUCAUGUCCUUAAAGAAAACUACCCAGAAACAGUAGAUAAUAAUGUACUGCUGAAUAUAAAGAUUGCUCUCCUUACAGAGAAGCACUAG
rnacentral:lncRNA from 1 species